UAGUUGAGUGGCCCAAACACUGGCCUGGCAUGCCAGAUAUCCUGGGUUUGAGUCCCAG
rnacentral:tRNA from 1 species